GAACGCUGGCGGCAUGCCUAACACAUGCAAGUCGAACGGUAACGCGGAGAGCUUGCUCUCUGGCGACGAGUGGCGGACGGGUGAGUAAUACUUAGGAAUCUGCCCAGUAGUGGGGGACAACAUUCGGAAACGGAUGCUAAUACCGCAUACGCACUACGGUGGAAAGUGGGGGAUCUUCGGACCUCACGCUAUUGGAUGAGCCUAAGUCGGAUUAGCUUGUUGGUGAGGUAAUGGCUCACCAAGGCGACGAUCCGUAGCUGGUCUGAGAGGACGAUCAGCCACACUGGGACUGAGACACGGCCCAGACUCCUACGGGAGGCAGCAGUGGGGAAUAUUGGACAAUGGGCGCAAGCCUGAUCCAGCAAUGCCGCGUGUGUGAAGAAGGCCUGCGGGUUGUAAAGCACUUUCAGUAGAGAAGAAAAGCCUAGGGUUAAUACCCCUGAGUCUUGACGUAACCUACAGAAGAAGCACCGGCUAACUCCGUG
rnacentral:rRNA from 1 species